AGCAUGGUCUUAGCUUGCUGAGUUUGAUGGCGACCGGCGCACGGGUGAGUAACACGUAUCCAACCUGCCGAUGACUCGGGGAUAGCCUUUCGAAAGAAAGAUUAAUACCCGAUGGCAUAGUUCUUCCGCAUGGUAGAACUAUUAAAGAAUUUCGGUCAUCGAUGGGGAUGCGUUCCAUUAGGUUGUUGGCGGGGUAACGGCCCACCAAGCCUUCGAUGGAUAGGGGUUCUGAGAGGAUGAACGGCCACACUGGAACUGAGACACGGUCCAGACUCC
rnacentral:rRNA from 1 species